rnacentral:lncRNA from 1 species
UCGUGGUUUGUGAAGGUUGUUUGUUUCAGAGGCAUUUCGCCUCUCUGCUUUUGGAACCUCCACGAGUGGACUUUUGUCUUGGGGCUCACAGUAUUUUACCCCCUUCAGGGAGGUGGCUGGUUGUAGUUUAGCAAAACAGCCACUGACAUCGCUGCUCCUUCAGCCUCUGCAGACAGAGCUGCAAGAUCCUCGAGGCCUUUUUAAUCCCCAGAAACAAGGUGUUAAAACAGACCAAAAUGUGUUCUCCCGCCCAGAAGCAAGCAAAGCCAACCCCAGCUGCAGUUCCCUGACAGUCCAGUGAAUUCAGCCAAAGGAAAUGGCCCCACAUGGAGGGCAAGUGACAGAAGACCUGAUGACUCCGGUGGCUCAGCGGAGAGUGCAUUAAUAGGCUUGACCACUUCUGCUCGAUCUUCAGGCAAGCUGGGUCUGACCCCUGGACACUGUCCCCUGGAGCCCCUGGCCUCCACGUGUCCACCCACUGCCAUGGUCAUGGCUCCUCAGCAGGAGGAGGCCCAGCAGCCUCCAGGUGCCCCUGCCUGGUGCUAGCUGCCCACCGAAGCUCUAGCCUCACACUCUCAGGUUCAAAUCCAGCGACAAGAGCGGAUCCCACAAAGGCCACGAGAGUCACCCUAAACGGUCAGCUUAGGUCCUUCGUUCACUGAGCCCAUCGCUGUCCAGGGCAAGUGGUGCUGGCUGGGCUAGGUCCAGCUCCCGUGUCCACCCUGGGACCUGAGGUUCAGGGUCAGCUCACCCUAGACACAUGGAUCGAGUGGGGAGGGUGAAUCCUCAAAUGCUAAUCAGGUUCUGUUGUACAGAAGGGGAAGCGGAGGCAGGAGGAUGCAGCAAGACCUGUUCCCUCCUCUAACGGCACUCAUAGGACAGCCCAGCCACACAUUCAAAGAAUCUUGAAGGAAUAGGAUGGUUGGUAUGGUUGGUGUGGAAGAAGGUUCAUAAAUUCUGGAUUUAGCUUUGUGGGAUUCAGCUGACCUGAAAUUUAUACCUGUGCAGGUAGGUGGUUGCUGGGUAGGGUGACCACUACUGUCUCUCUCCAUCACCCAGGGCUGUUUUCAGCUCAAAGCCACAGAAGCCCAGGCAUGGUGGCAUCUCCGGGGGAAGUUGCCUUAUUCCAGAUUCACAGGUCCGGGGCGAAGGGGCCAGGCAGGGCAGGUGUGGGGCGGCAGGAUAUCGCCCUGGGCCUGGCUCCUUCUGCCUUUCUGCCACCAUCUUCAGCGGUGCCAUUACCUCGAGGCCUUCU